rnacentral:rRNA from 1 species
UACGUAGGGGGCAAGCGUUGUCCGGAUUUAUUGGGCGUAAAGAGCUUGUAGGCGGUUUGUCGCGUCUGCCGUGAAAAUCCGGGGCUCAACCCCGGACUUGCGGUGGGUACGGGCAGACUAGAGUGUGGUAGGGGAGACUGGAAUUCCUGGUGUAGCGGUGAAAUGCGCAGAUAUCAGGAGGAACACCGAUGGCGAAGGCAGGUCUCUGGGCCACUACUGACGCUGAGAAGCGAAAGCAUGGGGAGCGAACAGG